rnacentral:rRNA from 1 species
GAUGAACGCUGGCGGCGUGCCUAAUACAUGCAAGUCGAGCGAACAGACGAGGAGCUUGCUCCUCUGACGUUAGCGGCGGACGGGUGAGUAACACGUGGAUAACCUACCUAUAAGACUGGGAUAACUUCGGGAAACCGGAGCUAAUACCGGAUAACAUGUUGAACCGCAUGGUUCAACAGUGAAAGACGGUUUUGCUGUCACUUAUAGAUGGAUCCGCGUCGCAUUAGCUAGUUGGUAAGGUAACGGCUUACCAAGGCAACGAUGCGUAGCCGACCUGAGAGGGUGAUCGGCCACACUGGAACUGAGACACGGUCCAGACUACUACGGGAGGCAGCAGUAGGGAAUCUUCCGCAAUGGGCGAAAGCCUGACGGAGCAACGCCGCGUGAGUGAAGAAGGUCUUCGGAUCGUAAAACUCUGUUAUUAGGGAAGAACAAAUGUGUAAGUAACUAUGCACGUCUUGACGGUACCUAAUCAGAAAGCCACGGCUAACUACGUG